rnacentral:rRNA from 1 species
GGGCCCGCACAAGCGGUGGAGCAUGUGGUUUAAUUCGAUGAUACGCGAGGAACCUUACCAGGGCUUAAAUGUAAGUUGCAUAAACUAGAGAUAGUUUUUUCUUCGGACUACUUACAAGGUGCUGCAUGGUUGUCGUCAGCUCGUGCCGUGAGGUGUCAGGUUAAGUCCUAUAACGAGCGCAACCCCUGUUGUUAGUUGCCAUCGAGUAAUGUCGGGAACUCUAGCGAGACUGCCGGUGCAAACCGUGAGGAAGGUGGGGAUGACGUCAAAUCAUCACGGCCCUUACGUCCUGGCUACACACGUGCUACAAUGGCCGGUACAGAGAGCAGCCACUACGCGAGUAGGAG